GGGGUAAAGGGGGGCAUGAUGCCCCCCUCUGCU
rnacentral:scRNA from 1 species